rnacentral:rRNA from 1 species
CCUACGGGUGGCAGCAGUGGGGGAUAUUGCACAAUGGGGGGAACCCUGAUGCAGCGACGCCGCGUGGGUGAAGAAGCGCCUCGGCGCGUAAAGCCCUGUCAGCAGGGAAGAAAAUGACGGUACCUGAAGCAGAAGCCCCGGCUAACUACGUGCCAGCAGCCGCGGUAAUCCGUAGGGGGCAAGCGUUAUCCGGAUUUACUGGGUGUAAAGGGGGCGCAGACGGCGAUGCAAGCCAGGAGUGAAAGCCCGGGGCCCAACCCCGGGACUGCGCUUGGAACUGCGUGGCUGGAGUGCAGGAGGGGCAGGCGGAAUUCCUGGUGUAGCGGUGAAAUGCGUAGAUAUCAGGAGGAACACCGGUGGCGAAGGCGGGCGUCUGGACUGCAACUGACGUUGAGGCCCGAAAGCGUGGGGAGCAAACAGGAUUAGAUACCCUUGUAGUC